AACAAGGAUUCCCCUAGUAACUGCGAGUGAAGCGGGAAAAGCUCAAAUUUAAAAUCUGGCGGUCCUUGGCCGUCCGAGUUGUAAACUAGAGAAGUGUUGCCCGCGCUGGACCAUGUAUAAGUCUCCUGGAAUGGAGCGUCACAGAGGGUGAGAAUCCCGUCUUUGACAUGGACUACCAGGGCUGUGUGGUAUACUCUCAAAGAGUCGAGUUGUUUGGGAAUGCAGCUCAAAAUGGGUGGUAAAUUCCAUCUAAAGCUAAAUAUUGGCGAGAGACCGAUAGCGAACAAGUACCGUGAGGGAAAGAUGAAAAGAACUUUGGAAAGAGAGUUAAACAGUACGUGAAAUUGCUGAAAGGGAAACGCUUGAAGUCAGUCACGUUGGCCGGGGAUCAGCCUUGCUUUUGCUUGGUGUACUUUCCGGUUAAUGGGUCAGCAUCAAUUUUGACCGCUGGAAAAAGGCUUGGGGAAUGUGGCAGCUCCGGCUGUGUUAUAGCCCCUUGUCACAUACAGCGGUUGGGAUUGAGGAACUCAGCACGCCGCAAGGCCGGGUUUCGACCACGUUCGUGCUUAGGAUGCUGGCAUAAUGGCUUUAAGCGACCUCGUCUUGAAACACGGACCAAGGAGUCUAACAUGCCUGCAAGUGUUUGGGUGCUAGAUCCCGAGCGCGAUAAUGAAAGUGAUAAGUGUGAGAUCCCUGUCGUGGGGAGCAUGCUGACGCCCGGACCUAGAACUUUUGGGAUCGGAUCACUGCGGUAGAUGCAUGUAUGUUGGGACCCAGUAAGAGUAUGGUGAACUAUGCCUGGAAUAGGGUGAAGACCAGAGGACAACUCUGGUGGAGGCAUCUGUAGCGAUUACUUGACAGCUGCAAAUCGAUCAGUCACAAUAUCUGGGCUAUGAGGGGUCGAAAGUACUAAUCGGAGACACAUCCUUAGUCAGUCUGGUUACCGUGCCGAAAUGUUUCCCUACAGGAAUAAGCAGAUAACUGCAUAUCAGAUUAUAUGUGGUAGAAGCGAAUGAUUAGAGGCCUUGGGGUGUGAAACAACCUUAACCUAUUCUCAAACUUUAAAUAUGUAGAGAACGAGCCGUAUUCCUUGAUUGAACCGCUCGGCGAGUUGAGA
rnacentral:rRNA from 1 species